rnacentral:lncRNA from 1 species
CUGGAAGUAGGUGGCCGCGAACUUGGCAAAUUUAUACUCAGAGAGGUCCUCCUCAUCCUCGUCAGGCAGGGGCAGGGCUGCAUCCAGGUCCUCCUCCACCAUCUCCCUCCGCCCUCGCUCCAGGUCCUCAAAGCCACUAGGUGCCUGGCCCUCCUGGCCUGGCAGGCCACCUGAAGUCCCCAGGAAGCCAAACAUCUUGUCCACCAUGUCUGAGUGAUUGACAGGCUCAUGGCGGG